CAGAGAGAGGAAUGCUGACACAUCUCAUUUUAGCAGUGGUUAGCCUCGUGUUACAGCCAAUCAUUUAAGCAAGGCAUCAAACAGAUGACUGAAGGCUGCAGCAGCUCUGAACACAUCAGAGAUGGAUUUUAUGAAGCACAUGGAUCAUUUUGAAAGUACUGACCUGGCAUCCAGUAGAGGAGAUCGGAGGUGGGAAAAAGGAGCUCUGAAUGAACGCUUCUGGAAAGGAAUUACUCUCUUUAACCUGCAGAAGCUCAUCUCCAGCGACUCUCCUCCAUCCUGAGCGCUGCCUGGAUGCGGACCAGCCGCAUGAAUCCGACUCAAAAGAGCAGUACGAGCCAAAGGGG